AAGCAGUGAUGCUUCCAAAUCAGACUGUGAUGCUAUAUGACAGGAUGCACAAUAGAAAUUUUUACAGCUUCAGAAGAACCUUGGAAGGCUCUGAGGGCUGCACUCCCAAAUUUUUGAGUACCCCACCAGCAAUUCUGGAGCCAAGGAUUGUAUGUGUGUCUAAGAGGCAAAUUUGCUUUAGCCCUUUGUUUUGUUGCCAGUUGUUCAGGGGAAAACACCUGGCCUGAUUGCUUCUGCCAAUAGUGGCUGCCAAUGGAGAAAGCAGCAGGUGACGAGAGUUCAAGAGGCACAAGCAAACUGAGGAUCUGGAGGAAGGAAAAAUAAAGAUGACAGCAGUUUGGACCCACAGGCUACUCACUCCUGGAUUUAAAGGAAUUAUAGUUGUUUUAACAUCUGAUGUUGUUUAAUGAGGACAAAAGCCAGUGCUGUACAGCGCCAACCCAUAAUUUGCUGCGGUAUCUUUUGUUUUGGAAACUGCUUACAGUAAACAGCAAUAUUGCAAUCAACACAAUGAAUGACUGGACCAGCUUCCAUCUCAGAAAUUAUCUUUGUGGGAGAGUUGUGUUAAGAUGACAGCCAGGCUGUGAAGUUUUCUGAACCACAAAAAGUACAGCACAAGUAUGAAUGUUUAUGAUGGUUUGCUACGUAGCUUCCCUCAUUCCCAAGUCCUUGAAUCUUUAACACAGCCUGUGUGUGGCCUACAGUUAGGGAAGUGCUUCAAAAAAAUCAAUUGAAAGAAAUUGCUGGCAUGAAAAAUGCUGAAUUCAACAGAAAGAAAAACGGGAUUCGGCAGGCUAUGGAGAAGCAUAAGAGAUUGGACUCCUUCCUAUCCAACUCUAUUAAGAAAGCCAACAAGGAUCCUAUCAAAAGUGCAUUUUUAAUAACUCCCUUGCAGAUUGAUUGCUAUUCUGGAUUCCAUAUUCUGCAAUAAGCUGACAUGUGGCUAAGCUAAGGGACCUGUCUCUAACCACCUUUUAUCCACCAGAAUGCUCUGGGAUUCCCUGUUGGCCCUGCGGACUUUCUUAAGGAACUUAAAUAAUGAGGGCUGUAGUCCCAAGUUUGUUUACUCACUGCCUAGGAAACAAAGACAGGUGUGGGCUACAAGCAUCUCAUUUUGUUUCCUGAUAAAUGGGUGUCAAUUUUUCAUAGGUAACUCAUCCUAUGGCAUGCAUUUUGUGACAACCAUAGUUUCAGGAUGUUCAGAUGUGGCCACUGGCUCAUAAAAGAGAGCCAAUUGGUCUUUGGGUCAAGUAACUUAAAACUAAUAACCACCAUAAAAUAAAUACUGUAGUUUCUCAAUGUACUGUUGUAAUUUGAGCCCAGAAUUUUGGUCCUAAGUCAUGGCAGUUGUUAAGCAGGUCAUCACGUGACUACGGCUGAUUUUCUAAUCUUUUUUGUGGCAGUUGUUAAGUGAAUGCGACAGUCGUUACAUGAAUGCAGCAGACGUAAAGCGAAUGCUAUGGUCAUUAAGUGAAUCCAUUAUUCGAAGUGCUUUUUUUUUGCUAGAAACCUGAAGUAAACACUGGUUUUCAGCAAAAAAAACUCCUCCAUUAUAAAUUGCAGUCAUGUAACCACAGGAUGCUGCAAAUAGCCAUAAAUAUGGACCAGUUGCUAAGGGCACCAAAAUGUGAUCACGUGACCCCCAAGGCCCGAGGGGGGGGGAAGAUAACAUCAGAACUUCAAAUCCAAGUGAUAAGUAGCCUGGGGAGCUCUGUUGUAACUUUGAAGUCAUUAAGUAACCAGUCGUAAGUCGAGCUCUAUUUGUAAAGUAGAAGAGCCACAUACAGGAAACAAUUCAGGAUCAGUUUGUAAAGUUUGGGCAUUUCAGUGUGGAUUUCUCAUGUUGCAUCAGAUGUUUUGGCCGGGCUCUGGGGUGCUUAAAAACCUAGAAUCAUCCAUUAGGAAUAGGCCAGAGUGUCAGUUCAGCUCUACAAUCCCAAAUAAAGCAUCUCCAACAAAUGUUUUCUCCAGCCUGUUUGGACACGUUCACUGAAACGGAAUCCACCAUCUCUCCAGGUCACCGGUUCCACUGCCAAAUUACUCUGGCUGUUCAGUUUUUUUCCAGCUUUUUUAUUGGAAUUUUCUUUGUAACUUAAAUCCAGUAUUCAGUCUCCUGCCUUCUGGGAUGAUAGGAAACAGACCUCAGCUUUUGUUCUGAGAGAUUCUGCUAGCUAGACUUCAUCAUUUAACAGUGCAAUUUAAAACUGUCUUUGUAGCAGAUUUAAAAUGUUUUCUCCUUCAGGUUCUCCCUCUCUGAUCACUUUUGCUAAUUUGACAGCCAUGUACAGAUAGUC